UACGUAGGGGGCAAGCGUUGUCCGGAUUCAUUGGGCGUAAAGAGCGUGUAGGCGGCCAGGUAGGUCGGUUGUGAAAACUGGAGGCUCAACCUUCAGAGGUCGACCGAAACCAUCUGGCUAGAGUCCGGGAGAGGAGAGUGGAAUUCCUGGUGUAGCGGUGAAAUGCGCAGAUAUCAGGAAGAACACCCGUGGCGAAAGCGGCUCUCUGGAACGGUACUGAUGCUGAGACGCGAAAGCGUGGGGAGCAAACAGG
rnacentral:rRNA from 1 species